rnacentral:rRNA from 1 species
UACGGGGGGGGCAAGCGUUGUUCGGAAUUACUGGGCGUAAAGGGUUCGUAGGUGGCUCGCUAAGUCAGACGUGAAAUCCCUCAGCUUAACUGGGGAACUGCGUCUGAGACUGAUGAGCUCGAGUGCAGGAGAGGAACGCGGAAUUCCAGGUGUAGCGGUGAAAUGCGUAGAUAUCUGGAGGAACACCGGUGGCGAAGGCGGCGUUCUGGACUGCAACUGACACUGAGGAACGAAAGCCAGGGGAGCAAACGGG